rnacentral:rRNA from 1 species
AUUGAACGCUGGCGGCAGGCCUAACACAUCAAGUCGAGCGGAUGAAGGGAGCUUGCUCCUGGAUUCAGCGGCGGACGGGUGAGUAAUGCCUAGGAAUCUGCCUGGUAGUGGGGGAUAACGUCCGGAAACGGGCGCUAAUACCGCAUACGUCCUGAGGGAGAAAGUGGGGGAUCUUCGGACCUCACGCUAUCAGAUGAGCCUAGGUCGGAUUAGCUAGUUGGUGGGGUAAAGGCCUACCAAGGCGACGAUCCGUAACUGGUCUGAGAGGAUGAUCAGUCACACUGGAACUGAGACACGGUCCAGACUCCUACGGGAGGCAGCAGUGGGGAAUAUUGGACAAUGGGCGAAAGCCUGAUCCAGCCAUGCCGCGUGUGUGAAGAAGGUCUUCGGAUUGUAAAGCACUUUAAGUUGGGAGGAAGGGCAGUAAGUUAAUACCUUGCUGUUUUGACGUUACCAACAGAAUAAGCACCGGCUAACUUCGUG